GAGGGUGUAGCUCAGUGGUAGAGCGCAUGCUUAGCAUGCAUGAGGUCCUGGGUUCAAUCUCCAGUAUCUCCA
rnacentral:tRNA from 1 species